rnacentral:tRNA from 1 species
AACGCUAUGCCUGACAACAAAGGGUUAUCUUGAUGAGAUAAAUAACAGGCCGCCAAACCUUAGCGUUC